rnacentral:rRNA from 1 species
GAAACUUUUCAUUGAAGCUUCGGCAGAUUUGGUCUGUUUCUAGUGGCGGACGGGUGAGUAACGCGUGGGUAACCUGCCUUAUACAGGGGGAUAACAACCAGAAAUGGUUGCUAAUACCGCAUAAGCGCACAGGACCGCAUGGUCCGGUGUGAAAAACUCCGGUGGUAUAAGAUGGACCCGCGUUGGAUUAGCUAGUUGGCAGGGUAACGGCCUACCAAGGCGACGAUCCAUAGCCGGCCUGAGAGGGUGAACGGCCACAUUGGGACUGAGACACGGCCCAGACUCCUACGGGAGGCAGCAGUGGGGAAUAUUGCACAAUGGGGGAAACCCUGAUGCAGCGACGCCGCGUGAAGGAAGAAGUAUCUCGGUAUGUAAACUUCUAUCAGCAGGGAAGAUAGUGACGGUACCUGACUAAGAAGCCCCGGCUAACUACGUGCCAGCAGCCGCGGUAAUACGUAGGGGGCAAGCGUUAUCCGGAUUUACUGGGUGUAAAGGGAGCGUAGACGGACUGGCAAGUCUGAUGUGAAAGGCGGGGGCUCAACCCCUGGACUGCAUUGGAAACUGUUAGUCUUGAGUGCCGGAGAGGUAAGCGGAAUUCCUAGUGUAGCGGUGAAAUGCGUAGAUAUUAGGAGGAACACCAGUGGCGAAGGCGGCUUACUGGACGGUAACUGACGCUG